rnacentral:tRNA from 1 species
GGAGGGUUUCCCGAGCUGGCCAAAGGGGGCAGACUGUAAAUCUGUUGUCAUACGACUACGGUAGUUCGAAUCUACCACCCUCCACCA